GCCUGGGUGGCUCAGUCGGUUGAGCGUCCGACUUCGGCUCAGGUCAUGAUCUCAGGGUCCAUGGGUUCAAGCCCCAUGUUGGGCU
rfam:Felis catus isolate Cinnamon breed Abyssinian chromosome A3, whole genome shotgun sequence.